GACGAACGCUGGCGGCGUGCUUAACACAUGCAAGUCGAACGGAAAGGCCCUGCUUUUGUUGGGUGCUCGAGUGGCGAACGGGUGAGUAACACGUGAGUAACCUGCCCUGGACUUUGGGAUAACUUCAGGAAACUGGGGCUAAUACCGGAUAGGAGCUCCUGCUGCAUGGUGGGGGUUGGAAAGUUUCGGCGGUUGGGGAUGGACUCGCGGCUUAUCAGCUUGUUGGUGGGGUAGUGGCUUACCAAGGCUUUGACGGGUAGCCGGCCUGAGAGGGUGACCGGCCACAUUGGGACUGAGAUACGGCCCAGACUCCUACGGGAGGCAGCAGUGGGGAAUAUUGCCCAAUGGGCGGAAGCCUGAUGCAGCAACGCCGCGUGCGGGAUGACGGCCUUCGGGUUGUAAACCGCUUUCGCCUGUGACGAAGCGUGAGUGACGGUAAUGGGUAAAGAAGCACCGGCUAACUACGUG
rnacentral:rRNA from 1 species